rnacentral:snRNA from 1 species
AUACUUACCUGGCAGGGGAGAUACCAUUAUCAAAGAGGUGGUUUUUCUGGGGCAAGGCUCACUCAUUGCACUCUGGUGUGCUAACCCCUGCAAUUUCCCCAAAUGCAGGAAACUCAGCUGCAUAAUUUGUGGUAGUGGGGGACUUCUUUUGCACUCUCCCU